rnacentral:rRNA from 1 species
UAUGAACCGGCCAAACGAUGUUCGGAAUCAUUGGGCUUAAAGAGUGCGUAGGUGGCGCCGUAAGUCGGGUGUGAAAUCCCUCGGCUCAACCGAGGAACUGCGCCCGAUACUGCGGCGCUCGAGGGAGACAGGGGUGAGCGGAACUGAUGGUGGAGCGGUGAAAUGCGUUGAUAUCAUCAGGAACACCGGUGGCGAAAGCGGCUCACUGGGUCUCUUUUGACGCUGAGGCACGAAAGCUAGGGUAGCGAACGGG